AGGCUUAACACAUGCAAGUCGAGGGGCAGCAUGGUCUUAUCUUGCUAAGGCCGAUGGCGACCGGCGCACGGGUGAGUAACACGUAUCCAACCUGCCGUCUACUCUUGGACAGCCUUCUGAAAGGAAGAUUAAUACAAGAUGGCAUCAUGAGUCCGCAUGUUCACAUGAUUAAAGGUAUUCCGGUAGACGAUGGGGAUGCGUUCCAUUAGAUAGUAGGCGGGGUAACGGCCCACCUAGUCUUCGAUGGAUAGGGGUUCUGAGAGGAAGGUCCCCCACAUUGGAACUGAGACACGGUCCAAACUCCUACGGGAGGCAGCAGUGAGGAAUAUUGGUCAAUGGGCGAGAGCCUGAACCAGCCAAGUAGCGUGAAGGAUGACUGCCCUAUGGGUUGUAAACUUCUUUUAUAAAGGAAUAAAGUCGGGUAUGGAUACCCGUUUGCAUGUACUUUAUGAAUAAGGAUCGGCUAACUCCGUGCCAGCAGCCGCGGUAAUACGGAGGAUCCGAGCGUUAUCCGGAUUUAUUGGGUUUAAAGGGAGCGUAGAUGGAUGUUUAAGUCAGUUGUGAAAGUUUGCGGCUCAACCGUAAAAUUGCAGUUGAUACUGGAUAUCUUGAGUGCAGUUGAGGCAGGCGGAAUUCGUGGUGUAGCGGCGAAAUGCUUAGAUAUCACGAAGAACUCCGAUUGCGAAGGCAGCCUGCUAAGCUGCAACUGACAUUGAGGCUCGAAAGUGUGGGUAUCAAACAGGAUUAGAUACCCUGGUAGUCCACACGGUAAACGAUGAAUACUCGCUGUUUGCGAUAUACAGCAAGCGGCCAAGCGAAAGCGUUAAGUAUUCCACCUGGGGAGUACGCCGGCAACGGUGAAACUCAAAGGAAUUGACGGGGGCCCGCACAAGCGGAGGAACAUGUGGUUUAAUUCGAUGAUACGCGAGGAACCUUACCCGGGCUUAAAUUGCAGAUGAAUUACGGUGAAAGCCGUAAGCCGCAAGGCAUCUGUGAAGGUGCUGCAUGGUUGUCGUCAGCUCGUGCCGUGAGGUGUCGGCUUAAGUGCCAUAACGAGCGCAACCCUUGUUGUCAGUUACUAACAGGUUCCGCUGAGGACUCUGACAAGACUGCCAUCGUAAGAUGUGAGGAAGGUGGGGAUGACGUCAAAUCAGCACGGCCCUUACGUCCGGGGCUACACACGUGUUACAAUGGGGGGUACAGAGGGCCGCUACCACGCGAGUGGAUGCCAAUCCCAAAAACCUCUCUCAGUUCGGACUGGAGUCUGCAACCCGACUCCACGAAGCUGGAUUCGCUAGUAAUCGCGCAUCAGCCACGGCGCGGUGAAUACGUUCCCGGGCCUUGUACACACCGCCCGUCAAGCCAUGGGAGCCGGGGGUACCUGAAGUGCGUAACCGCGAGGAGCGCCCUAGGGUAAAACUGGUGACUGG
rnacentral:rRNA from 1 species